rnacentral:rRNA from 1 species
AUGGAUUGCUGCUUUAUGUUCGGACGGAGAUCUCAACAUGCUGUUGAAGGCGAUGAUGGUGAACAUAGUGUGAAGGUCUUUUCUUACAACGAGUUGAGAAAGGCAACUCAAGAUUUCAGUGGGGCAAACAAGAUUGGAGAGGGUGGUUUUGGUUCCGUAUUCAGGGGAAUGCUCAAAGACGGCACACUAAUCGCAGUGAAGGUUCUGUCGGCCACUUCAAGGCAAGGUGUCCGAGAGUUCUUAACUGAACUUACAGCAAUUUCAGACAUCAAGCAUGAAAACCUCGUCACACUUGUUGGUUGCUGCGCUGAAGGGUCCCAUAGGAUCCUCGUUUACAACUAUCUUGAGAAAAACAGCCUUUCACAGACAUUGCUAGGGUCUGGCUACAGCAGCAUCCAGUUCAACUGGAGGGCUCGUGUCAAAAUUGCCGUGGGCGUUGCCCGCGGACUUGCAUUUCUUCAUGAGGAAAUCCGUCCUCACAUCAUCCACCGUGACAUAAAAGCGAGCAACAUUCUUCUCGACAAGGACCUCACCCCGAAAAUUUCUGAUUUUGGAUUGGCGAGGCUCCUUCCUGCCAAUGCAACUCAUGUUAGCACCCGAGUGGCAGGCACAUUAGGAUACUUGGCUCCUGAAUAUGCUAUCCGAGGUCAAGUGACGAAGAAGUCUGACAUCUAUAGUUAUGGGGUUCUUCUCUUGGAAAUCGUCAGUGGCAGAUGUAACACCAACACAAGAUUGCCUUGUGAAGAUCAAUUCCUCCUUGAGAAGACAUGGGCAUUCUAUGAGCAAGAGCGUCUAGAAGAGAUCAUAGAUGCCGACAUAGACGAAGACCUGGACAUCGAGGAGGCAUGCCGGUUCCUGAAGAUCGGCCUGCUAUGCACACAGGACGCAAUGGCGCGCCGCCCCCACAUGCCCACCGUCGUGAGGAUGCUCACGGGAAGCAAGAGCAUCUCCAUGGAGAAGAUCACCAGGCCAGCCAUGAUCACUGACUUUGCGGAGCUCAAGGUCAGCACCAAACCGCACGGAGCAAACCAGGCGCGGUCCAACACGUCGAGAUCCUUCUCCACCACGGAGAUAUCGGAGCCCUUCACGUCGUCGGAGAACCACACGCAGACAUCUGUAUGA